GCUCUGCUGGCUCAAUCGGAUAGAGCACUGGACUUCUAGUCCAAAGUUUGCGGGUUCAAGUGCCGCCUAGAGUA
rnacentral:tRNA from 1 species